GACGAACGCUGGCGGCGUGCCUAAUACAUGCAAGUUGAGCGAUGAAGUUUGGUGCUUGCACCUAUUUGAAGAGCAGCGAACGGGUGAGUAACGCGUGGGGAAUCUGCCUUUGAGCGGGGGACAACAUCUGGAAACGAAUGCUAAUACCGCAUAACAACUUUAAACAUAUGGUUUAAGUGUGAAAGAUGCAAUUGCAUCACUCAAAGAUGAUCCCGCGUUGGAUUAGCUAGUUGGUGAGGUAAAGGCUCAACAAGGCGGUGAUACAUAGCCGACCUGAGAGGGGGGUCGGCCACAUUGGGACUGAGACAACGCCCAAACCUCCACGGGAGGCAGCAGUAGGGAAUCUUCCGCAAUGGACGAAAGUCCGAACGGGCAACGCCGCGUGAGUGAAGAAGGUUUUCCGAUCGGAAAAAUCUGUUUAUUGAGAAGAACGAUGGUGGGAGUGGAAAGCGCACAAAGUGACGGUAACUAACCAGAAAGCGACGGCUAACUACGUG
rnacentral:rRNA from 1 species